AAGAAGAAGAGGCAACCAUGAACGUCCAGACCACAGUGAUGUUGGUCUUCACGGCUCUGCUGCUCAGCGCCAGUGUGGCAUCAGGCGCAGAUCGGAUUUCCCUUUGUGAACUGAUGGGAGGGAGAUGUUUACCUUCCACUUUGUGCAGGGGGACCUCGGCGUACGGAUGCCCCAGUAUGUUUGUGUGCUGUCACGAUAUCUUGUCUUGAUCACCUGGUUCUGUCCAACACGAUCCACCCAGGCCGACGCUCACAGAUCUGCAGAAACCAACAACACAAUCACAGACACCGAAACCCACAAGAACGAAACGGCUAUUUUCCCAUGCAGAAACUCAAAUUUCAUUUUUUGUCUAAGAGAUAUGCACUCAUGAUGAAAUGUUAAAGGAAUACUCCGACAUUCUGGGGCAAAAUCCCCUUUUCCCAACGUCCUCAGACUGAGACCAGAUGCUGGACACCAUUUCCACCUGUACGUCCAGUGGUUCUGUUCCUAUGGUUAGCAUUUUCUGUUAGCUUAGCAUAAAGACUUGAAGUCUAUGGGAGUUGUUAGCCUGAAGAUGGUGUCCAACAUCUGCUCUCAGUCUGGGGAAGUCUGGAAAAAGGGGAUUUUUCCCAAAAUGUCGGAGUAUUCCUGUAAGUGUUGACUGCAGGGCUGGACUGGCAGACAUAAAUCUGUAUGAUUAUUAGUUAUCUCUUGUGUGUGAGAGCUGCUUUUAACCAGGAAAACAGACAGGAGUGGAAA